UACGUAGGGUGCGAGCGUUAAUCGGAAUUACUGGGCGUAAAGCGUGCGCAGGCGGCGCGUUAAGACAGGUGUGAAAGCCCCGAGCUUAACUUGGGAAUUGCGCUUGUGACUGGCGUGCUGGAGUGUGGCAGAGGGGGGUGGAAUUCCGCGUGUAGCAGUGAAAUGCGUAGAGAUGCGGAGGAACACCGAUGGCGAAGGCAGCCCCCUGGGCUAGCACUGACGCUCAGGCACGAAAGCGUGGGGAGCAAAAGGG
rnacentral:rRNA from 1 species